AACGAACGCUGGCGGCAGGCCUCAAACAUGCAAGUCUAGGGGGUGUAGCAAUACAUCACCGGCGGACGGGUGCGUAACGCGUGGGAAUAUACCUAUCGAUUCGGAACAACUGAGGGAAACUUCAGCUAAUACCGAAUACGUCCUAACGGAGAAAGAUUUAUCGUCGAUAGAUUAGCCCGCGUUCGAUUAGCUAGUUGGUGGGGUAACGGCCCACCAAGGCGACGAUCGAUAGCUGUUCUGAGAGGAAGAUCAGCCACACUGGGACUGAGACACGGCCCAGACUCCUACGGGAGGCAGCAGUUGGGAAUCUUGGACAAUGGGGGAAACCCUGAUCCAGCCAUGCCGCGUGAGUGAUGAAGGCCUUCGGGUUGUAAAACUCUUUCGCGCACGACGAUAAUGACGGUAGUGCGAGAAGAAGACUCCGGGCCUAACUUCGUGCCAGCAGCCGCGGUAAU
rnacentral:rRNA from 1 species